rnacentral:misc_RNA from 1 species
AAAAAACAAAAAGAAAACCCAAAAUUGAAUUUUUCUCUAUGCUUUAGACAUCAAAAAACAAUAGAAUAUAUUCAUAUAAUGCUAUCAAAUGAUCAUCAAUCGUCGCCAAUUGCUGUUUGCAAAUUGGAAUAAUCAUUCUUGAAGUAAUAAAUUUGGAAAGAACGAACACAUAAAACCUAUCUUCUGAACAAGGGAUAUAUAU